rnacentral:snRNA from 1 species
GUACUCGCUUCGGCAGCACAUAUAUAGAGAUUAACAUGGCCCCUGUGCAAGGAUGACAAGCAAACUCGUGAAGUGUUCUAUAUUUAA